UACGAAGGGGGCUAGCGUUGUUCGGAUUUACUGGGCGUAAAGCGCACGUAGGCGGAUCUUUAAGUCGGGGGUGAAAUCCUGGAGCUCAACUCCAGAACUGCCUUCGAUACUGGGAGUCUUGAGUUCGGGAGAGGUGAGUGGAACUGCGAGUGUAGAGGUGAAAUUCGUAGAUAUUCGCAAAGAACACCAGUGGCGAAGGCGGCUCACUGGCCCGAUACUGACGCUGAGGUGCGAAAGCGUGGG
rnacentral:rRNA from 1 species